rnacentral:rRNA from 2 species
GGGUUGUGAGGUUAAGCGACUAAGCGUACACGGUGGAUGCCCUGGCAGUCAGAGGCGAUGAAGGGCGUNCUAAUCUGCGAUAAGCGCCGGUAAGGUGAUAUGAACCGUUAUAACCGGCGAUACCCGAAUGGGGAAACCCAGUGUGAUUCGUCACACUAUCAUUAACUGAAUCCAUAGGUUAAUGAGGCGAACCGGGGGAACUGAAACAUCUAAGUACCCCGAGGAAAAGAAAUCAACCGAGAUUCCCCCAGUAGCGGCGAGCGAACGGGGAGGAGCCCAGAGCCUGAAUCAGCAUGUGUGUUAGUGGAAGCGUCUGGAAAGGCGCGCGAUACAGGGUGACAGCCCCGUACACAAAAGCGCAUGUGCUGUGAGCUCGAUGAGUAGGGCGGGACACGUGGUAUCCUGUCUGAAUAUGGGGGGACCAUCCUCCAAGGCUAAAUACUCCUGACUGACCGAUAGUGAACCAGUACCGUGAGGGAAAGGCGAAAAGAACCCCGGCGAGGGGAGUGAAAAAGAACCUGAAACCGUGUACGUACAAGCAGUGGGAGCACCCUUUGGGUGUGACUGCGUACCUUUUGUAUAAUGGGUCAGCGACUUAUAUUCUGUAGCAAGGUUAACCGAAUAGGGGAGCCGGAGGGAAACCGAGUCUUAAUUGGGCGUUAAGUUGCAGGGUAUAGACCCGAAACCCGGUGAUCUAGCCAUGGGCAGGUUGAAGGUUGGGUAACACUAACUGGAGGACCGAACCGACUAAUGUUGAAAAAUUAGCGGAUGACCUGUGGCUGGGGGUGAAAGGCCAAUCAAACCGGGAGAUAGCUGGUUCUCCCCGAAAGCUAUUUAGGUAGCGCCUCGUGAAUUCAUCUCCGGGGGUAGAGCACUGUUUCGGCUAGGGGGCCAUCCCGGCUUACCAACCCGAUGCAAACUGCGAAUACCGGAGAAUGUUAUCACGGGAGACACACGGCGGGUGCUAACGUCCGUCGUGAAGAGGGAAACAACCCAGACCGCCAGCUAAGGUCCCAAAGUCAUGGUUAAGUGGGAAACGAUGUGGGAAGGCCCAGACAGCCAGGAUGUUGGCUUAGAAGCAGCCAUCAUUUAAAGAAAGCGUAAUAGCUCACUGGUCGAGUCGGCCUGCGCGGAAGAUGUAACGGGGCUAAACCAUGCACCGAAGCUGCGGCAGCGACACUGUGUGUUGUUGGGUAGGGGAGCGUUCUGUAAGCCUGCGAAGGUGGCCUGUGAGGGUUGCUGGAGGUAUCAGAAGUGCGAAUGCUGACAUAAGUAACGAUAAAGCGGGUGAAAAGCCCGCUCGCCGGAAGACCAAGGGUUCCUGUCCAACGUUAAUCGGGGCAGGGUGAGUCGACCCCUAAGGCGAGGCCGAAAGGCGUAGUCGAUGGGAAACGGGUUAAUAUUCCCGUACUUGGUGUUACUGCGAAGGGGGGACGGAGAAGGCUAUGUUGGCCGGGCGACGGUUGUCCCGGUUUAAGCGUGUAGGUGUGUGUUCCAGGUAAAUCCGGUUCACUUUAACACUGAGGCGUGACGACGAGGCACUACGGUGCUGAAGCAACAAAUGCCCUGCUUCCAGGAAAAGCCUCUAAGCAUCAGGUAACAUCAAAUCGUACCCCAAACCGACACAGGUGGUCAGGUAGAGAAUACCAAGGCGCUUGAGAGAACUCGGGUGAAGGAACUAGGCAAAAUGGUGCCGUAACUUCGGGAGAAGGCACGCUGACACGUAGGUGAAGUGAUUUACUCAUGGAGCUGAAGUCAGUCGAAGAUACCAGCUGGCUGCAACUGUUUAUUAAAAACACAGCACUGUGCAAACACGAAAGUGGACGUAUACGGUGUGACGCCUGCCCGGUGCCGGAAGGUUAAUUGAUGGGGUCAGCGCAAGCGAAGCUCCUGAUCGAAGCCCCGGUAAACGGCGGCCGUAACUAUAACGGUCCUAAGGUAGCGAAAUUCCUUGUCGGGUAAGUUCCGACCUGCACGAAUGGCGUAAUGAUGGCCAGGCUGUCUCCACCCGAGACUCAGUGAAAUUGAACUCGCUGUGAAGAUGCAGUGUACCCGCGGCAAGACGGAAAGACCCCGUGAACCUUUACUAUAGCUUGACACUGAACAUUGAGCCUUGAUGUGUAGGAUAGGUGGGAGGCUUUGAAGUGUGGACGCCAGUCUGCAUGGAGCCGACCUUGAAAUACCACCCUUUAAUGUUUGAUGUUCUAACGUGGACCCGUUACCCGGGUUGCGGACAGUGUCUGGUGGGUAGUUUGACUGGGGCGGUCUCCUCCUAAAGAGUAACGGAGGAGCACGAAGGUUGGCUAAUCCUGGUCGGACAUCAGGAGGUUAGUGCAAUGGCAUAAGCCAGCUUGACUGCGAGCGUGACGGCGCGAGCAGGUGCGAAAGCAGGUCAUAGUGAUCCGGUGGUUCUGAAUGGAAGGGCCAUCGCUCAACGGAUAAAAGGUACUCCGGGGAUAACAGGCUGAUACCGCCCAAGAGUUCAUAUCGACGGCGGUGUUUGGCACCUCGAUGUCGGCUCAUCACAUCCUGGGGCUGAAGUAGGUCCCAAGGGUAUGGCUGUUCGCCAUUUAAAGUGGUACGCGAGCUGGGUUUAGAACGUCGUGAGACAGUUCGGUCCCUAUCUGCCGUGGGCGCUGGAGAACUGAGGGGGGCUGCUCCUAGUACGAGAGGACCGGAGUGGACGCAUCACUGGUGUUCGGGUUGUCAUGCCAAUGGCACUGCCCGGUAGCUAAAUGCGGAAGAGAUAAGUGCUGAAAGCAUCUAAGCACGAAACUUGCCCCGAGAUGAGUUCUCCCUGAGACUUAAAGUCUCCUGAAGGAACGUUGAAGACGACGACGUUGAUAGGCCGGGUGUGUAAGCGCAGCGAUGCGUUGAGCUAACCGGUACUAAUGAACCGUGAGGCUUAACCUUACAACGCCGAAG